UAGCGAAAGGGCAUACCCGUCGUGAGGCGGGGGCGCAAAGCCACGGGACUCUCAACGAGUCGGCCGGGCUGCCGAGU
rnacentral:ncRNA from 1 species